rnacentral:rRNA from 1 species
GACGAACGCUGGCGGCGUGCCUAAUACAUGCAAGUAGAACGCACAGUUUAUACCGUAGCUUGCUACACCAUAAACUGUGAGUUGCGAACGGGUGAGUAACGCGUAGGUAACCUGCCUGGUAGCGGGGGAUAACUAUUGGAAACGAUAGCUAAUACCGCAUAAUAUUGAUUAUUGCAUGAUAAUUGAUUGAAAGAUGCUAUUGCAUCACUACCAGAUGGACCUGCGUUGUAUUAGCUAGUAGGUGAGGUAACGGCUCACCUAGGCGACGAUACAUAGCCGACCUGAGAGGGGUAACGGCCAAACUGGGAAGUAGACACGCCCCCGACUCCUUCGGGAGGCAGCAGUAGGGAAUCUUAGGCCAUGGACGAAAGUCUGACCGAGCAACGCCGCGAAGGUGAAGACGAGUUUCUGAUCGUAAAGCUCUGUUGUAAGGGAAGAAAGGGUGUGAGAGUGGAAAGUUCACACUGUGACGGUAUCUUACCAGAAAUGGACGGCUAACUACGUG